AAAUGUGAUGGCAUACCUUUUGAGUGUAGCAAUGUGACAAUGUAUUAUUAUAAAUUUAUAGCUUAUGAUAGUUAAAUCUAUUAUGUCCUGUGAUCAUGUGGCUUCUUUUGUGUUUCAAUUCGUACUGCACUGGCUAUGGUGCCGCAGUCGAAUGUUUUGAUGUUAGGAAUUUCAUUUAUUUCUUCUUUUGUAGCCAUCUUGAUGCCUAGAAAAGGAGCACCAUAUUUUACUCUUUAUCAGA
rnacentral:misc_RNA from 1 species